AGCAGUAGCCACGGUAAUACAGAGGGUGCGAGCGUUAAUCGGAUUUACUGGGCGUAAAGCGUGCGUAGGCGGCUUCUUAAGUCGGAUGUGAAAUCCCUGAGCUUAACUUAGGAAUUGCAUUCGAUACUGGGAAGCUAGAGUAUGGGAGAGGAUGGUAGAAUUCCAGGUGUAGCGGUGAAAUGCGUAGAGAUCUGGAGGAAUACCGAUGGCGAAGGCAUCCAUCUGGCCUAAUACUGACGCUGAGGUACGAAAGCAUGGGGAGCAAACAGGAUUAGAUACCCCAGUAGUCCCUGUCUCUUAUAC
rnacentral:rRNA from 1 species